rnacentral:rRNA from 1 species
AACGUAGGACGCAAGCGUUAUCCGGAGUUACUGGGCGUAAAGCGCGCGCAGGCGGUCACUCAAGUCUGAUGUGAAAUCUCUCCGCUCAACGGGGAGCAGCCAUUGGAAACUGGGCGACUGGAGUCUGGCAGAGGUAGGCGGAAUUCCGGGUGGAGUGGUGAAAUGCGUAGAGAUCCGGAGGAACACCAGAGGCGAAGGCGGCCGCCUGGGCCUUUGCUGACGCUGAGCCGCGAAAGCGUGGGGAGCGAGCCGG